rnacentral:lncRNA from 13 species
GCGUUGGUGCAAAUCUCCCAAUCCUUUUUUCACAACCGUAUUCUGUUUUUAACCCCGCUCAAAAAGAGAAAUGAUUACUAAAGCCAGGCUUGUCAUCAACACAUUUCCAUCUAGAGGAGGAUCCAGUUAUUAGAGCUGCAGACCUCUCUUCCUGUGCCAGCCCAGCUAACUCAGCCAGUGUUCUAAGCAUAAAUGAAGAUAGUCCAUGCGAUGUGCUCUACUACGUACGUCCCACAAUGCAGUUCACUCACUCAAACAAGACUGCAAUGAAGAGGUUAUACCUAGAUGCUUUAGGGAACCAAAGCCGCAUGUGCAGUAGUGCAGUAAUACAGUAUUUCAUUUCAGUUUUUUUGAGUUCAUUAUUCUUUUCCUAUUUUUCUUACGAAGACCAGAUGGACUACAACAAACCAAAGAUUGGCCUUGAAUAGAUAACAGUGCAGUCAAAAUCCAGGAAAACACUAGUGAAAACAACUGGACUUAUUCAGUUUAAAGACACCCAGGCUUUUUCACCAGUCAAUCCUCUCAUUUCCAAAGGUCAAAAUAGUGACGUUUGUUGCUAGGCAGUUGUGUAACGUGAAUAGGUCUGCAACAGGUUUGGGGAUAUUAACACAACAAGCUAAACAAAGGCUCACAUUUGGUUUGGUUAUUAUAGUCAUACAGUAUCUGAAUCUACUAGCGUUUUAAUAUGUCAGGGAGAGAGUGCUGAAAUAGAAUUUAACACACUAGUGAAAACCGUAUCCUUGUGUUGGCUUGCUGGUGUUCUACUGCACCAUGACUUUAGCUUGCUGGUGUUCUACUGUACCAGUUCUGCACCAGGACUUUAGCUUGCUGGUGUUCUACUGCACCAGUUCUGCACCAUGACUUUAGCUUGCUGGUGUUCUACUGCACCAGUUCUGCACCAUGACNNNNNNNNNNCACAUAUAAACAUUUUAUGCACUACUUUUCUAAAUAUGUUUUUUUUCUUCCCAACAGUCAUUUUAGGCACAUUUUUCACAAAUGGGGAAAACUCCUUUUUGCAAUACCUCAAUUUUUCACAUUGUGAAAGUGCUGAGGAAUCUUCACAACCAAGUAGCGUACGUGCAUUGACGCGACUUCCGAAACGGCAGAGGAACGAUCAGUGUACUGCUUAAAGACCUCUGCAGGAUGCAAAGAAAAAAAGAUGAGAAAAUAAGAAAAAAACGAACUCUAAAAUCUAUUUUAGCAGUGGAGGACUUGAGCAUCUUAUAGGAAGGAGGACACUGUUGAAAAGACUUGUUAACUCAUCUCCACUGUCUGUUGAGGUAAUUCAACCGUUUUGGAAGAAGGGGAACUUUAAGACUUGAAUGUGGUAAAUGUUGCAAGUUAACUUCGAGUUGUUAUGUGCAAUACAUUUUAUUUUAUUUUUUUUCCAGAUAAAGACUCUUUGCAAUGUAAUUCUUUAAUGCCAUUUUUAAUUGCAGACAUUUAAAGAAGACGUUAAUAUGUUUUUCAGUCAUUUUCUACUGUUAUUGUAAUCCUUUUCAUGCUGGUGUUUGUAAAAAAGAAAAAGAAAUCAAACUAUUUGUACUAAUAUAAAUAAUCGAAGUUAUUUUUAAAACAUUAAAGGUUUUGUGCUCAUUUGUUUAUUUCAAGCUACUGUGAUUGGUUGUAAUUAUUAGGUCAAUAAUGUAUUUAGCUGUUUUAUUGGUAUAUUUUUAAUUGGAAUGUAUAAUUUUUAUAAUUUUGAUCAGAUUUUUGUUAUAUUUUUGAGGUGAAGNNNNNNNNNNGAGGUGAAGCUUUUAAAGUGUCUAGUUUUUACUAAUUGCUAUAUUGUGCUCCACAAUAUAUGAUUAACAUUUUCUGAAGGAAAAUAAACAUUUAAAUAUUUGUCUGUUAAUGAUGUUACUUAAUGGCAAAAUGUCAAUAGUUUUUAACUGUAUGGGAAGGUUGUUGUAUUUAUUAAUAGCAUUUUUUACUUAAGAUUAUCACCUUAAUUUCUAUUGUCAUUUCACUUUAUAAGUUCCUAUUUUUGUAUUUUCCUUUCUAAUUAAGUUAUGUAAUACAAAAUGUCCAUAUUUCUAGGAGUUGGUCUGUAGCAGUGCUAGUGAAACGAAAAAUACAACUCUGUUAUUUAAUUGUUUGCAGCCAACUAUUUAUAACAGUGCAUCAUUUUUAAAUAUUUGUAAUGUGAAAUGUUGAAUGAAUAAAACUUAACUGUGAAAAGGCCCAUUGUCUGUUUAUUUUUUGGUGUGGAUUGUAACAGUCCGUUUUCUGUAGCGGUCUAUCGGUUGCUGCUUUCACAAAGCUAGGCAGCAGCCAUUGUUGGGCCCUGGCUCAUAAAACCUCCAAAUUAUUUCAGAUAUCUUUACUACAUACAAGCAAAUAAGGUCACAAUGAGUUGUGUACGUUAGGCUGUGUGUGAAAGAGCGUGAGACAGGGAGUUGAAAUGCUGACCACAAGCAGCUUUCGAUAAUGUCGGUAUCAAAGUAACCAUUUCUAUUUUAUGAGCAUUUAUUUUGCAGCCAUUGAUUAUUUCCUUGUCCAGACUACGAAGUCAUUGUGUUUGUAUGCCAGCUGUUACUCUGAUCUUUUCAAAGACUUGGAAUGUCACUAUAAUGCUAUGGUCAUCCUUGCGUAUCCUUGGUCAUCCUACACAAGCCAUAGCUGAUUAGCUGAUGAAGCCAGUCAAUGUAAAAUAGAUGCAUCAUGCAUGCCAGGGUAUUG